AGAGCGAACGCUGGCGGCAGGCCUAAUACAUGCAAGUCGAGCGGCCACUUCGGUGGCAGCGGCGGACGGGUGAGUAACGCGUGGGAAUGUGCCCUUUGGUACGGAACAACUGAGGGAAACUUCAGCUAAUACCGUAUGUGCCCUUCGGGGGAAAGAUUUAUUGCCAUUGGAGCAGCCCGCGUUGGAUUAGCUAGUUGGUGGGGUAAAGCCCACAAGGCGACGAUCCAUAGCUGGUCUGAGAGGAUGAUCAGCCACACUGGGACUGAGACACGGCCCAGACUCCUACGGGAGGCAGCAGUAGGGAAUCUUGCGCAAAUGGGCAAAGCCUGACGCAGCCAUGCCGCGUGAAUGAUGAAGGUCUUAGGAUUGUAAAAUUCUUUCACCGGGGUAAGAUAAUGACGUACCGGAGAAGAAGCCCGCUAACUCGUGCCAGCAGCCGAC
rnacentral:rRNA from 1 species